CCGAGCGAACGUUGUUCGGAAUCACUGGGCUUAAAGGGGCGCGAUAGGCGGGCUGCCGCGUCCGGGGUGAAAUCCCACGGCUCAACCGUGGAACGGCCCCGGGUACGGGCGGCCUCGAGGAAGGUAGGGGCGUGCGGAACUGUGGGUGGAGCGGUGAAAUGCGUUGAUAUCCAACAGGAACUCCGGUGGCGAAGGCGGCACGCUGGACCGUUUUCUGACGCUGAGGCGCGAAAGCCAGGGGAGCGAACGGG
rnacentral:rRNA from 1 species